UUCCAUAGGUUGCCUUUUAAUUUUGCUUAUGACUUCCUUUGCUGUGCAAAAGCUUUUUAAAUAUAGUCCCAUUUGUUUAUUUUUGUUUUUGUUGUCUUGCUUUUGUUGUCAAAUCCAAAAAUCAUCUCCGAGCCCCAUGUCAAGGAGGUUACUGCCUAUGUUUUCUUCUAGGAGUUUUAUGGUCUCAGGUCUUACAUGUGACUCUUUAAUAUAUUUUGAAUUAAUUUUUGUGAAUGGUGUCACACAGGGGUCUGGUUUCAUUCUUUUACAUGUGACUAUCCAAUUUUACCAGGACCGUUUAAUGAAGAGUAAGCGAUCCCCAGUGAAUAUUCUUAGCUCCCUUGUCAAAAUGUUUAUUUCUCAGGUCUUGAUUCUGUUCCACUGGCCUAUGUGUCUGUUUUUAAUGCCAAUACCAUACUGUUUUGAUUACUGUAGCUUUAUGAUAUAGCUUGGAAUCAGGAAGUAUGAUGUCUCUUGCUUUGUUCUUCUUUUUAAGGGCUGCUUUGGAUAUGUGGGGUCUUUUGUGGGUCCAUACAAAUAUUAGGAUUAUUUUUUCUAUGUCUGUAAAAAAUGCCUGUGGAAUAUUGAUAGGGAUGACACUGGGUAGUAUGGACACUUUGACAAUAUUAAUUCCUCCAAUCCAUGAACACAGAUUAUCUUUCCAUUUAUUUGUAUCUUCUUUGAUUUCUUUCAUCAACGUGUUAUAUUUUCAGUGUAGAGAUCUUUCACCUCCUUGCCUAAAUUUACUCUUAAAUAUUUUAUUAUUUUCAGUGCUAUUGAUAUUAUUGUUUAAUGUCUUUUUCAGAUAAUUUGUCAUUAGUAUACAAAAACCCUGAUUUUGUAUGUUCAUUUUGUAUCCUGCAGCUUAACUGAAUUUGUUGAUCCCAUUGAGUUUUUGAUGACAUU